rnacentral:rRNA from 1 species
GAUGAACGCUGGCGGCGUGCCUAAUACCUGCAAGUCGAGCGAACGGACGAGAAGCUUGCUUUUCUGAUGUUAGCGGCGGACGGGUGAGUAACACGUGGAUAACCUACCUAUAAGACUGGGAUAACUUCGGGAAACCGGAGCUAAUACCGGAUAAUAUUUUGAACCGCAUGGUUCAAAAGUGAAAGACGGUCUUGCUGUCACUUAUAGAUGGAUCCGCGCUGCAUUAGCUAGUUGGUAAGGUAACGGCUUACCAAGGCAACGAUGCAUAGCCGACCUGAGAGGGUGAUCGGCCACACUGGAACUGAGACACGGUCCAGACUCCUACGGGAGGCAGCAGUAGGGAAUCUUCCGCAAUGGGCGAAAGCCUGACGGAGCAACGCCGCGUGAGUGAUGAAGGUCUUCGGAUCGUAAAACUCUGUUAUUAGGGAAGAACAUAUGUGUAAGUAACUGUGCACAUCUUGACGGUACCUAAUCAGAAAGCCACGGCUAACUACGUG